AGAAAUCCUGGAGCUCACCGACCACUGGGAAGAGGAGCUGACUGACGUGGUUUCCCAGCUGAAGAAGACGGAGCAUUCUCACUGUGUGCAGAUCAGCGUAAUCCAACAUGGAAUCACUAAAUGGCUCUCCCUUAUCACUGCUCAAAUUAAGUGUCCUGAUCUCAAACAUGAAGAAAACUCUGUGGAAGAGAUUCACGCAGAUUUGAUGCAGUGGUCACAAUUUCUGCAGAGCAGCAGGGGAUCAUUAGAAUUUUGCCUCUGAGUUGUGGGCGGGACUGUUGGUGCACAGUAAGUCUGCCUCCUUCCAGUCAUUCUUCUGUUUACACUAGGCGUGUUUGAGAUCACCCAGGCAGACAGCACUGCGCAGAUCGCCUGGAUUGCAGUGCAUGCUGGGAAGUUUUUGCUCAGACGUCACAUGUUAAUCAUUAUAAAAAUUUCCAGAGAAAGGACUGGGUGUAAGGCGCCUAGGUAGCAGGAGGAAAUCUGGCACUGCGCUGAAUGUAAGCCACCUUGUUACUUCAAAACAAUGCAUUGUGGGAGAUGGUGUCCUGAAAGUUAUACUCCGAACAAAAGGAGCUCAAUGAAGGAAAUCUGUGUAUUUUUCUUAACUCUGCAAGAAGUGAAUCUCUGAUGAAAAAAUAAACAAGAUUUAUAUUUAUACAAAUGAUUUUAGUAAUUGAAAUCAGCAUCACUCGUAUUAUUUCAUUAUUCAAAAUUAUUUUACUUGAAACAAUAAAUUAUUUUAUGUUUUCUACUGAUAAUCGUUUAGGUUUCAUUGCUAAAUAUAAGACAGACAUUUGCAUUUAUGCAACAAAAGGAACUCAAAAGUAAAAUCAUCUGUGGUUAUGUGUGUAAUUGUAUUGUUUAAAAUACUAAAGGGGAGAGGCAUUUAGCGGGCUGCCCGGUGGC